rnacentral:tRNA from 1 species
CAAAGUAAUUAGCACCCGUGAUGUAGUUUUUGACGAAGAAGCAGUCUUCAAUGGCAAAACUGAGGACCUGAUG